UGGGGAAUAUUGGACAAUGGGCGAAAGCCUGAUCCAGCCAUGCCGCGUGUGUGAAGAAGGUCUUCGGAUUGUAAAGCACUUUAAGUUGGGAGGAAGGGCAUUAACCUAAUACGUUAGUGUUUUGACGUUACCGACAGAAUAAGCACCGGCUAACUCUGUGCCAGCAGCCGCGGUAAUACAGAGGGUGCAAGCGUUAAUCGGAAUUACUGGGCGUAAAGCGCGCGUAGGUGGUUUGUUAAGUUGGAUGUGAAAUCCCCGGGCUCAACCUGGGAACUGCAUUCAAAACUGACUGACUAGAGUAUGGUAGAGGGUGGUGGAAUUUCCUGUGUAGCGGUGAAAUGCGUAGAUAUAGGAAGGAACACCAGUGGCGAAGGCGACCACCUGGACUAAUACUGACACUGAGGUGCGAAAGCGUGGGGAACAAACA
rnacentral:rRNA from 1 species